rnacentral:rRNA from 1 species
CGCGUAGGCGGCUUUAUAAGUCUGGAGUGAAAGUCCUCUCUUCAAGGGAGGAAUUGCUUUGGAAACUAUAGAGCUUGAGUGCAGGAGAGGUUAUCGGAAUUCCCGGUGUAGCGGUGAAAUGCGUAGAUAUCGGGAGGAACAUCGGUGGCGAAGGCGGGUAACUGGACUGCAACUGACGCUGAGGCGCGAAAGUGUGGGGAGCAAACA